UACGAAGGGGGCUAGCGUUGCUCGGAAUCACUGGGCGUAAAGGGUGCGUAGGCGGGUCUUUUAAGUCAGGGGGUGAAAUCCUGGAGCUCAACUCCAGAACUGCCUUUGAUACUGAAGAUCUUGAGUUCGGGAGAGGUGAGUGGAACUGCGAGUGUAGAGGUGAAAUUCGUAGAUAUGCAAGAACACCGGUGGCGAAGGCGGCCAACUGGACCAUUCU
rnacentral:rRNA from 1 species